AUUGAACGCUGGCGGCAGGCCUAACACAUGCAAGUCGAACGAGUGGCGGACGGGUGAGUAAUGUCUGGGAACCUGCCCGAUGGAGGGGGAUACCUACUGGAAACGGUAGCUAAUACCGCAUACCAUCGGAUGUGCCCAGAUGGGAUUGGCUAGUAGGUGGGGUAAUGGCUCACCUAGGCGACGAUCCCUAGCUGGUCUGAGAGGAUGACCAACCACACUGGAAAUGAGACACGGUCAAGACUCCUACGGGAGGCAGCAGGGGGGAAGAUUGCCAAAUGGGCGCAAGAUUGAUGCAGCAAUGCAGCGUGAAUGAAGAAGGCCUUAGGGUUGUAAAGUACUUUAAGCGAGGAGGCGAUACACGCAGAAGAAGAACCGGCUAACUCCGUGCCAGAAGCCGCGGUAAUAC
rnacentral:rRNA from 1 species